rnacentral:rRNA from 1 species
GAUGAACGCUGGCGGCGUGCCUAAUACACGCAAGUCGAGCGAAUGGAUUAAGAGCUUGCUCUUAUGAAGUUAGCGGCGGACGGGUGAGUAACACGUGGGUAACCUGCCCAUAAGACUGGGAUAACUCCGGGAAACCGGGGCUAAUACCGGAUAACAUUUUGAACCGCAUGGUUCGAAAUUGAAAGGCGGCUUCGGCUGUCACUGAUGGAUGGACCCGCGUCGCAUUAGCUAGUUGGUGGGGUAACGGCUCACCAAGGCAACGAUGCGUAGCCGGCCUGAGAGGGUGAUCGGCCACACUGGGACUGAGACACGGCCCAGACUCCUACGGGAGGCAGCAGUAGGGAAUCUUCCGCAAUGGACGAAAGUCUGACGGAGCAACGCCGCGUGAGUGAUGAAGGCUUUCGGGUCGUAAAACUCUGUUGUUAGGGAAGAACGAGUGCUAGUUGAAUAAGCUGGCACCUUGACGGUACCUAACCAGAAAGCCACGGCUAACUACGUGCCAGCCGCCGCCGUAA